UUUAACCUUUUGACCUGAAAAACAAUAGGGGUCCUCUUCUUUUCAUAACCAACCCACAUAUGAAAUAUCAUUACGAUUAAGUGAAUGGUUCUCAAGAUAUUGAGCGGACAACAUAUGCUGAAAUGUAAUCAAGGUCCACCAUCACUAGAUGAGGAAAUGUAAUCAGUGUCCACCAUCACUAGAUGAGGAAAUGUAAUCAGUGUCCACCAUCACUAGAUGGGGAAAUGUAAUCAAGGUCCACCAUCAGUAGAUGAGGAAAUGUAAUCAAUGUCCACCAUCACUAGAUGACGAAAUGUAAUCAGUGUCCACCAUCAC